AUUGAACGCUGGCGGCAGGCCUAACACAUGCAAGUCGAACGAGUGGCGGACGGGUGAGUAAUGUCUGGGAAACUGCCCGAUGGAGGGGGAUAACUACUGGAAACGGUAGCUAAUACCGCAUACCAUCGGAUGUGCCCCGCGGGGAUUAGCUAGUAGGUGGGGUAACCGCUCACCUAGGCGACGAUCCCUAGCUGGUCGGAGAGGAUGACCGGCCACACUGGAACGGGGACACGGUCCAGACUCCUACGGGAGGCAGCAGUGGGGAAUAUUGCACAAUGGGCUCAAGCCUGAUGCAGCCAUGCCGCGUGUAUGAAGAAGGCCUUCGGGUUGUAAAGUACUUUCAGCGAGGAGGCGUUACUCGCAGAAGAAGCACCGGCUAACUCCGUGCCAGCAGCCGCGGUAAUUC
rnacentral:rRNA from 1 species